UCGUAGAAAUUAUAAUAAUACAUAUAAAUGUCUCAAGAACAAAAAAAAAACAAGAAAUUGAGAGAAAACAUCCGGAUUAAUACUGUCGUACAGUUCAUGGCCAUCCAGCCCGACUCCCGGCGUGGAUCGAUAAAAAGUAAAUCACUCUGUACUCAACAAUCUAUUUUCCUUUGACGAUAAACAAGCGAACAGUGAUAUACAUGCAUUUGUUGAUCUAUCUGCAAUCGAAAAAGCGUCGGGUACACCCACGUUCGUCAGAGCGUAAGCCGCAAAGGAGGUUGUUGGUGCUGUUGGAGAGUGCAGUGUUUGUAGGAGUUAUGUUUUUCCAUUAAGAUCACUCGGCUUUGCUGGUCAAGAACAGUUGCAUUUACCUUAAUUAUAAUUUAUGCAGAGUAUUCUCGAUCUAUUUGGGCCCCAUUUCCUAAGGCCCAUGUGUGGAGCGGAAGGCAGAUGACGGAGUAAGAGAUAAUCAACAUGUUUGUCACUUUCCCUGAAAAUGUUUUCGACCUGCCGGCGAGAUUUUUAAUGCGGCUAUUGUGGUUUAUUGGGUUUUUUUAUCGCCGAGAGAUUACUGGGAUUUCGCAAUAAUACGAAAUUCGUACUUUUUUUAUUUUAUUGGGAAUUAAUGGGAAGGUAUGAAAAUUAUUCUCGUGGGAACUUUUUUCUGGUAAAAUAAAAACUUGUGAAAUAGAUAAUUAAUUACAUAUGAUUCAUUGAUUUUACGACUAAUUAAUUAACUGAUCGAUCGUCCAAAUUCAAUUGAAUAAUUACGAAACAUCGGUUUGUUCUUACUAUUAAUAUAUAUAUUUCUCUUCUAUUUUAAUUUUUACUAAUUACAUUAGUAAUAUGCAAAUUUAUCUUCUCAUGAACUGUGACAUUAAUAAACAAAUUAAACAUAAGAAAAAUACU